rnacentral:rRNA from 1 species
UACAGAGGGUGCGAGCGUUGUUCGGAAUUAUUGGGCGUAAAGGGCGCGUAGGCGGUGCGGUAAGUCACCUGUGAAAUCUCCUGGCUCAACUGGGAGCUUGCAGGCGAAACUGCCGUGCUGGAGUGUGGUAGGGGAGACUGGAAUUCCUGGUGUAGCGGUGAAAUGCGCAGAUAUCAGGAGGAACACCGAUGGCGAAGGCAGGUCUCUGGGCCACUACUGACGCUGAGAAGCGAAAGCAUGGGGAGCGAACAGG